AGUAUUGUGUCUGAUUAAAGUGGUAGAUUGUAAAUCUAUUAAAGGGAGUUUUCUCCAGUACUA
rnacentral:tRNA from 1 species